CUGUUGUUCUUGUUCGGUCUUCAAAAUAACGGUUGUUCCUUUUUCUUCACACACACCAUACAAUGCAUCCCAAAAUAAGAUUCCAUAGAAACCUACUAUCAUUAUUUUGAAGUUUUCUCCUCUAUGCCCGCAACACGUCUUCUAUGCGUUUAGGCAAUACCCAAGCCAGAUGUUGGGAAGUAAGAAUACCAUUCCACAGUCACCAAACAUCAUCACAGAGGAUAAUCAAAUGGUCAAUCGUUUCUCCAUCUCUUUUACAUAUAUAACACCACUCGAUAACAUAAAAACCUUUUCUUCGAAAAUUAUUCAUCAUUAACGCCGUCCCGUCACAAUCGUCCAUAAUAAAAAGCGCCACCCGUGGAUGUAAUUUACAUUGCGACACCAUCUUUCAGGAAAAUGAACUCUCCACCAGUUCUAAUAUGGAUCUAAAAUAAGUGUGAACUGAUACCAUCCCAUGCUAACCUCCACCUGCUAUGAUCACCCUCUCCUACUUGAAUAUGCGCUUCUUGCAAGGAUGUCAAAAACAGUGCAUAAUCAUCCAAUUCUCAAUCUUGUAAAUCCCUCUCAAAAGCAAUAUUUCAGCUGUAACUUCCAUUAUGUAUGGCUAGUGCAUCGUUCACCUUAGUGGAAGGCUCCAAAUUAAUGUGAUGCAAAGAAGGAAACCUUCCCUUUAGCGGAUGAUCUCCACACUAACAAUCAUCCCAAAAUCUGAUACCAUUGACAUUUCCCACCACACAAGUCAAUUUCUCUUAAAAGUCAUUCUAUUCUCGUCGAAUAUACUUCCACAAGCUCACCCCAUAAGAUCCACGACCAUCGACAGAGCACCAACCCCCUCCAUCACACCAUACUUGGCUUCUAUGAUUUGUCUCCAAAACAUCUCCCUCUCUACUCCAAAUCGCCAUAACCACUUGUCCAAUGAAGCCUUAUUAAACAGAACAAGACUCCUCAAUUCAAGACCCCCAUCUUUACAGGAGAACAGACCACAUCCCAAUUAAUCAAAUGAAAUUUCUUCUCUUCCUCUAACCUUGCCCAGAGAAACUCCAUUUGAAUCCUCUCUAAUCUAUUUGCCAUUGUAACAGGAAUAGGAAUUAAUGACAAGAAAUAAGUAGGGAGAUUAGAGAUGGUGGAUUUAAUGAGAGUAAGGCGGCCUUCCAUCGGAAGGUACAUACGCUUCCACCUCGCAAACCUCUUCUUCAUCCUUUCAACAAUUACAUUCAAGAUAUGUUUAAUUUUAAAUCUUGCCCCUAAAAGGAGCCCAAUGUAUGACAAGGGCAACUACGCAACCCUACAACCCAAUAUAUUGGCCAACUCAACCACGUUAGCAACCUCUCCCACUGGAAUAGCCUCAUAUUUUCCCAAAUUAAUCUUCAAUCCCGACACCGCUUCAAAGCAUAGAAGUGGCCAACAUAAGUUUCUAAGCUGUUCAUCAUCUGCAUCGCAUAGAAUCAGUGUGUCAUUUGUAAAUAGCAAAUGGGAAACCUGUAAGUGUCCAAUCGUAAAAUCCUUUAUCAAACCUUUUCCCACAACUUUCUCGAGCAUCCUAUUGAAUGCCUCCAUAACAAUCACAUAAUAGACACAAAGAAUCCUCUUGCCUCAAACCUCUAUUGCUUCGAAAAUAACCCUCCUGGGCGCUGUUAACCAAAACAGAGAACGAAACGGUAAAGAUACAAAAUUGAAUCCACUUUUCCCCGAAACCACAUUACCUGAGGAUGUACAUAAGGAACCCCAAUUCACGUGUUCAUAAGCCUUCUAAAUAUUGAGCUUACAUAACAUUCCUGGCAUCCCCAAACGGAAUAUAGAGUCAACGCAUUCAUUCUUUAUAAGCACAAAAUCUAAAAUCUGCCUUCCUUUCACAAAAAAGCAUUAUGACACUUAGUCACUACUUUCCCCAGCACCUACUUUAAUCUGUUCGCCAAAAUUUUCGCAAUAAUCUUGUACGCCCCACUAACUAAGCUAAUAGAGCGAAAAUUCUUAAUGUCAACUCUUCAGAAUCAGCAUAAUAAAUAUAGCAUUAGAGCUUCUUAGGAACCUGCUGUACUCAAAAAAAUAAGAAGGAACAUCUAUAAUGUCCGGUCGCACCACUUCCCAACAAGCCUUAUAAAGGGUAAACGAGAAGUCAUCUGGUCCUGGUGCCUUAUCAUCAUUCAUGCUGAAACCACCUCAUUGAUUUCGUUUUCCUCAAAUGGUCUCUCUAACCAACUAGUAUCCUCCUCCGUGAUAGUAGAAAAACUUAGUCCGUCCACCUUUGGCCUACAAUCAAACUUCUCCUAAUAGAAAUUUUGAUAGAAUCUCACAAUUUGAUUCCCAAUAUCCUACGGAUCCUCAUAAGUAACUCCAUCAACCUCCAACAAUGUGAUAGAGUUGUUGUGCCUAUUAGAAUUAGCGACUCUAUGGAAAAACUUGGUGCAUUUAUCCCCCUCUUUCAACCAUGUGACCCUAGAUUUGUGGUGCCAUUCUCCUCCAUCUCCACCAGUCUCUCCAACUCUCCCCUUAACACUUCACAUCUCUCUCUCUCCUUCCCAACCAACAUUUGUCUCUUCUUCUACUUAUCCAGUUCUUCUAUUUCUAGAAUGCAUUGAUUUUUAUGCCAAUUAACAUCGCCCACCACCACUUUAGAUCCAUCUUCAAGGCUUUCAAUUUCUGAUCCCCCUGAAUUCAUAAGAUGCCCAUCAUUACUUGCUCCCCAAAGCCUUCUACUUUUAGCAACAUCUUACUCAAAUCUAAAAGGUCUGCUUCCACUACACCUCAUAUUCUCCGAUAAUAAAAUAGGGAAAUGAUCAGAAUACACCCUCUCCAAUCUCCUCCGAGUAACCUCUAGAUAUUUGGCCUUCCACUCUCCACUAAUCAAAAAUCGAUCUAUUCGAGAUAAAACAUGUUGAUCUUGAUUAGAUGACCAAGUAUAGUCUCCUCCAAUCAAAGGUAUGUCUACCAACAUUUUCUCUCUGAUAAAAUCUGAGAAAUCCCCCAUUGCCCAUGUUAAUCUCCCACCACUUGAUCUCUCAGUAGGAAAUCAAAUCACAUUAAAAUCUCCCCCAAUACAUGUUGGAAGGUCCCACCAAAUCAUCAUACCAGUCAACUCAUCCCACAAUCUACUUAUGCUCUUAUCAGCAUUAGGCCCAUAAACUCCUAUAAACAUCUAACGGAAGCUAUCCCCAAUACUUCUGAACAAAAACGAUAGAGAAAAUAGCUCUUCACUCACCUCUUCCAUAUUAAAAACCUAGUAUUCCACAUGACUAGCAAACCUCCUGAAGCCCUCGAUGACCCCACAUAUUGAUACCCGACAUGCUGUCCCUCCAAUAGGCUACCCACAAUAGCCUUGAAAUGACCUCCAACUUUGUUUCUUGUAAGCAUACAAGGUCAGCCCUCCAUCCUCUUAACGGAUUUUGAAUACCUAGCCUUUUUUCAGCUUCAUUAAGCCUCCUCACGCUCUGGCUAAUUAUUUUUGGGAUCAUCUUAACACUUCGCCAUCCCUUCCCAUCAACCCCCUCUUUGAAUCGCCACCCUUAACGUCGUAAUAGACUGAGCAUUCGAGUCGCUUGAGUUCACGGUCACCUUUUCUUCUUGUUUUCCCACCUGGUGAACCCAUCCCCUGUCCCCUACUGGCCUCCAAUUCCUCAAAUAAUUGCAUUAGUCUAGUUUCAUAUCAAUCAUAGGACACACUCACCAUUUUACUAAAAUCUAAUUUUUUUUGAAGAACCCAGCUAGACGGCGGAGGUCUAAUGUCAAGCACAUUAACUUCCACUAUCUCCCCGACGAAUAGAGGGUCAUAAUGUUGUCCCUCCUCUUCUUCCACCUGUACUACAUCGUUAUCCAUAUCUUCCUUCUCAGCACCAUCAACCCAUACCAUAAAGCUUUAUUAGUCCCCAAGUUCCUCUCUUUCGCUUAGAAUAUUUCCUACAGGUCACAACCAUAGUUGCUGACCAUGUCGUUCCUUGCUGUUCCUCAACUCCCAUAGCUAGACUUUCUGCCAAUACAACGCUGAUCUCUUGCUCCUUCGUGGACCCUAAUCCCUCUAUUGGCCUCCUGUUCAAUGCAUCCAUGGUCGUGGGACCCUUGUCUUUUGUUGUAUCCAGUACCGCUGACUCCAACGUUAACUUAUUCAUCUCCCCUUCCUUAGCCUAAGGUUCCAUCUCCACCACUCUAGUCCACUUCAGGGAUUAGCCACUUGGCUCAAGCGGCAACUCUGUAUUAUCGGUCCAAUUCAAUGUCAGCUCCUUGGGAUCCAAUUUUACAACCUCUACCAUUCGUUAGACACUCAUCCAAGUCCUUUCCACACUUACGAUAGUAGGUCUUCCGGGAGCCCACUGCAAACUUGCUAUCCCUUAACUUAAUUAAUUCAAUAAGUUAUCCUUUCAGUGCCAAUAAACAAGCCUUAAUUUUAGCUCUAUACAAUGGACAAUCAAUUAUGUCUUCUGUAGCUGUUUCCUUGGACUCAUGCUCCCCUAUAUAUCCUUCCUUAUAAGGUCCCGAGAUUUGCUCGCGUGGAUUACUCCUCUCCUUAACUGCCCUUUCCUUAUACAACAAUACCCGUGAUCGACAUUUCGUGAGGCCCGUGCAUUUGCCGUAACUCCGACGUAAAUCAUCUCUUGUUUAUUCCUUUCUUCGACUAUUUGAAGCUUGACCUUGUCACUGACAACAAAAGAGUUGAUAACCACCUGAAACACAUGCGAGAUCGAAGCCCAACCCUCUCCAUUCUCUAAUUCCAGCACUAUCACCACUUCUUCCUGACGUCUCUCCUGAGUCUCAUCAUAUUGUGUUAUCAUCAAGUACUUACCACGAUUAUUUGCAUAGCGUUGUGCCAAGAAUGCUCGAGAGGACUCAUUGAACUUCAAAACGAAAUCCACUGACUUCUCUGCCACCCUCACCUUCUCCACCAAAUUCAAAAUCCUAAUGCCUCCAAACCUCCCCAUGCAAAUGGAGUCUAAAAUCUUCGCUCCCAUUUCAAUAGCUUAACAAUGCCUGAGUCAUAGACAGAUACUACAAACUCUUUUGCCUCAAUUUUGAAUUGAGAAUUGUACAGCAUACCCAUAGCAUGAUAUUGUUUUCUCUGCUCUUGUGCAAACGAUGCAUUGAAUGUUGGGAUGUUCUAGUUGCAGCUGGAGGAAUCAGCUGCCUUACUGACGACAGCGCUUGCUGCCCAUGCGUUAGCGCAUACGCGACCAGAUUGGUGCGUGGACGACGCCACUGCCUCGUCAACGUCGGAAAGGCCUGAAUAGCUGGCCGGGCAGGUGUGUGUGGCUAGGAAUGGCCGGAGAAUAGGUGGAUGGUAAAUGCUCAUUUAACUUCACA
rnacentral:lncRNA from 1 species